rnacentral:lncRNA from 1 species
GUUACAGCCGGUACGGACGGGGGGUUAAAACCGCACAAAAAGAGGCUCAGCGUCACUAACCCUUAGGGAAGUGCACGUGGAAACCGUGGCGAGGUGUCACCCCUCACCCACUAGGAUGGAUCCUUUCAGAACAGCAGAAAAUAGCAAGUAUUGGCGAGGGUGCGGCGAAGCUGGAGCCCCGCGCACCGUUGGUGGGGGUGUGAGACGGGGCAGCCGCUGGGAGAGCCGCACUCCACGUGCAGCUGAAUGUCCUGCGACUCGGAAAGGCCACUUCUGGGGAUGCACCCGCAGAACGGAAGGCAGGGCCGUGAGAUGCGCGUGCAGCCCAGGGUCAUCGCAGCGCUGUUGACGAUGAUAAAGCGUGGACCAACCCCAGCGUCCAUGGGGGGAAGAUGGGUGAGCAAAAGGCGGUUUACCCGUGGACCUGGAGGCAGUAGUGAGCACAGUAAGAAAAGGCAGAAAAGAACUGAAUGGCAGAACAGCGAAGGAGGCAUAGAGAAAACAGAUUCGAGAGGAAAAAAGAGACUCUAAGUGUACUGUGUCUAAAAAUGUCAAAGAGGCCAUGGUAUGAUGCUGUCUGUUACAUUUGCCGAUUAUAGCGGUGAGUACAGGAUGUUUGUUAUCUUGCUCUCCUCACUUUCCAGUGUUUUGAGAGAUUUCGUAGUGAGAAAAUAGAUGAAGUACAUCGUGAAAUCUAGAAAAGAAACAGCGAUAGCCUAAAAGGGGAGGGAAAAAUACAAGGG